GCGGCAGUGGUGAAGUGGUAACACAGCGGUCGUCGAAAUGCGAAGUGCAAAAUUUCGCUAACAGCAAUUUUCGGACAAAGCCAAACCGCCAUGCGCAGGUUCGAUUCCUGCCUGCCGCUCCA
rnacentral:tRNA from 1 species